UGAGGAAUAUUGCGCAAUGGGCGAAAGCCUGACGCAGCGACGCCGCGUGAGGGAUGACGGCCUUCGGGUUGUAAACCUCUGUCAGGGGGAAAGAUUAUGACGGUACCUCCAAAGGAAGCUUCGGCUAACUACGUGCCAGCAGCCGCGGUAAAACGUAGGGAGCAAGCGUUGUCCGGAAUUACUGGGCGUAAAGAGCUCGUAGGCGGUCCUAUAAGUCAGAGAGCAAAUCCGGCGGCUUAACUGCCGGCUCAUCUCUGAUACUGCAGGACUAGAGGUCAGAAGGGGAAAGCGGAAUUCCCGGUGUAGCGGUGAAAUGCGUAGAUAUCGGGAAGAACACCAGUGGCGAAGGCGGCUUUCUGGUCUGUUUCUGACGCUGAGGAGCGAAAGCGUGGGGAGCGAACGGG
rnacentral:rRNA from 1 species